rnacentral:rRNA from 1 species
UACGUAGGGCGCAAGCGUUAUCCGGAAUUAUUGGGCGUAAAGAGCUCGUAGGCGGUUUGUCGCGUCGACUGUGAAAACCCGCGGCUCAACUGCGGGCCUGCAGCCGAUACGGGCAGGCUAGAGUUCGGUAGGGGAGACUGGAAUUCCUGGUGUAGCGGUGAAAUGCGUAGAUACCAGGAGGAACACCGGUGGCGAAGGCGGCUUCCUGGCCAAGUACUGACGCUGAG